rnacentral:rRNA from 1 species
AAAUAGAUACCCCGGUAGUCCAUGCCGUAAACGUUGGGCACUAGGUGUGGGGCUCAUUCCACGAGUUCCGUGCCGCAGCAAACGCAUUAAGUGCCCCACCUGGGGAGUACGGCCGCAAGGCUAAAACUCAAAGAAAUUGACGGGGGCCCGCACAAGCGGCGGAGCAUGCGGAUUAAUUCGAUGCAACGCGAAGAACCUUACCAAGGCUUGACAUACACCGGAAAAGUGCAGAGAUGUGCUCCCCGCAAGGUCGGUGUACAGGUGGUGCAUGGUUGUCGUCAGCUCGUGUCGUGAGAUGUUGGGUUAAGUCCCGCAACGAGCGCAACCCUGUCCCAUGUUGCCAGCGGGUUAUGCCGGGGACUCAUGGGAGACUGCCGGGGUCAACUCGGAGGAAGGUGGGGAUGACGUCAAAUCAUCAUGCCCCUUAUGUCUUGGGCUUCACGCAUGCUACAAGUGGCCGGUACAAAGGGCUGCGAUACCGCAAGGUGGAGCGAAUCCCAAAAAGCCGGUCUCAGUUCGGAUUGGGGUCUGCAACUCCG